rnacentral:lncRNA from 1 species
CGUCGGCAGCCGGGCGGUGUCCCGCUGUGGGGCGCUUGGGCUUGCGCAGGAGCAGGCUUUCUCGCGUUUUCAGUUGUGUUCAGGGAAGGAGAAGAUGUCCUAUGGUGAGAAAAAAAGAAGAAAUAUGCAGAGCCAGAAGAAAUUGUGUUCUAAAAUGCAGAAUCUCGUAUAUAAAAUGAGGAACUACUGAACCAUAGAUUCCAGCGUUGCCCAGAUACUAUUAAUCUCCAAUCUUACCCUACUGCGAUA